rnacentral:lncRNA from 1 species
GCUGUAUAUUAAAAAUUGUGACUAAAACUUUUCUUUUUACCGUAUCAUGAGUUACGAAAAUUAUUUCUAUAGUCUCAUACCAAUUCGGAUCACAACAAAAUUAACUGAGAGUUAAAAAAGGUUUACACUAAAUACCUAUUUACUAAUUUCAAUUUAAAAACUUUUACCCUAUGGAAUUCACCCCUCCACAUUAUGUAUGUAUGUGCCUGUCCCAAGUUAGGAGCCUGUAGUUCAGUGGUUGUCGUUUGUUUAUGUGUUACAUUUAAGUUUUUCGUUCAUAUUUUUUUUUAUAUAUAAAUAAGGCCGUUAGUUUUCUCGUUUGAAUUGUUUUACAUGGUCAUUUUGGGGCCUUUUAUAGCUGACUAUGCAAUAUGGGCUUUGCUCAUUGUUGAAGGCCGUGCGAUGACCUAUAGUCGUUAAUUUCCGUGUCAUUUUGGUCUCUUGUGGUGAACUGUCUCAUUGGCAAUCAUACCAUCUUCUUUUUUAUAUUUAUACAUUUUCGAUUGAAAAAUGUCAAGUGUAGAAUGAUAGCCCUUUGCUCAUGAUCCCUUACAGAAAUAGUAAGAUAUAAAACUUCGUAUUUAGGACUGAUCCAGGGCUUCGUAAAAAUGUACUUUAGUUUUGUUUGAAUUUUCACUGUCCGGAAUAAGAUUUACACCUUUAAUCAUUGUUACCAGUAAUAUCUUGGUAUAUGAUAAUA